UCAAGCCCAGCCUGAUUUGCACAGCGAAUGCCUGUCUCGAAAAGACCAAGAAGAAAAAAAGAUAAGGAUAAAAAGACGUUUCUGACGGCCCCACAGUGAUCUCUGGUGAGAAGUUUAAUUUGCUCGACGACGCCUUUGUACAGAAAAGGAAGCCUCUUGCCUCCCAAUACCGAGGAACCUGCGGGGCAGGUGCCGGGAAUCAGACUCAGGACCUUACACCUACCAGGCAGGCGCUUGUGCCGCUGAGCUGUAUCCCCGGCCCUCAUUGUGGCUUUUAUAGCCACAGCUGAAGCCAAAACUGCUGCUUUGAUAGCACAUGUUCCCUCCUCUAAAGGGACAGGCUGAUAAAGGAAGAUGGAGGCCUCUCUGAGAUUUGGUGUCCAGACGCUGGAAUACAGCAAUGUGAGGAAGAGAAGGAACGAAGUGGGUGCCUAGGAACCAGCAGGGAUCUGAAUCGAGAAUUAAAGCCCACAGGGAAAACAAAGGGAGAAACGUCAGUGAAGGAGGAGGAGGAGGAGGCAAGCAGCACAUUCUCCCUGAGCCCUGACUGACUUCUUGGGAGGGGCAGCUCAAACCUGCAGAUGCACAGUGGCUGACCCCAGAAGCCUCCGUGGAGACACACACCAAUGGAAGGGAGCCGUGGGUGCAGCGGACUACAGUGGCUGCACGCGGUCAGAACUUUGGCUUACUAUUGGUUGAGCGGUAAAGCCCGCCCUACUACUUCCGUUACGCUCCUUUAAGUAGACGCCAGGCGGGUGGUUCGGUCUUUUGGCGACGGCGGACCCAGAGAGGUCCCGCCCUUCCGAGGACGUCAGAUCGCCUUGUCUAAAGCGUCUUUCCGGCGCUUCUCCCUACUCCCAAGCCCCCCAAUAAAACGCUGUGCUCCCCA